rnacentral:siRNA from 1 species
CGCCGUAUACGGUGAUGCCGUCGA